UCCGUCGCGCCGGCGCCAUGGCUAGGCUCGCGCUGGCACUCCUGCUGCUGCUAGCCGUGGCGGCGUCUUCGGCGUCGGCCACGGGCGGGAGCCACCACCUGGACCUGGACCUGGGCUUCCUCUCCUCCUCCUCCGGGGCCCGCCGGAGGGAGUGCCGCGGCACGGUGGCCGAGUGCCUCGCCGCGGAGGAGUCUGAGGAGGAACGUCUGGACCUGGUCUCCUCUCCCGAGUCCCACCGCCGCGCGCUGUACGGCAACGGGUACAUCAGCUACGGCGCGCUGCGGCGGGACAACGUGCCCUGCUCCCGCCGCGGCGCCAGCUACUACAACUGCCGCCCCGGCGGCCAGGCCAACCCCUACCACCGCGGCUGCUCCCGCAUCACCCGCUGCCGCGGCUGAGGUGCUGCCCGGAUCCGCCGCCGGCA
rnacentral:lncRNA from 1 species